UGAGUAUGAAAAAUAAUCGCGAGUGCCUCGAGGCAUUUGAGGAAAGUCCGGGCUCCAUAGGGCAAUGUGCUGGAUAACGUCCAGCGAGGGUGACCUUAGGGAAAGUGCUAUAGAAAUUUAAACCGCCUGAUUUUAUCAGGUAAGGAUGGAAAGGUGCGGUAAGAGCGCACCAGCAGUUAGGUGACUAACUGGCUAGGUAAACCCCACACGGAGCAAGACCGAAUAGGGAAGGGAUGAUGCUGCCCGCGGAACCUUCCGGGUUGUGUCGCUUGAAUCAGUUGGCAACGGCUGAUCUAGAUAAAUGAUUAUUGCCGCGUAAGCGGAACAAAACUCGGCUUAAUGAUUGCUCAUAGU
rnacentral:RNase_P_RNA from 1 species